AUAUGAAUUAUCUGGCAUCAAAGAAUAAGGUUUUUAAGUCCUAUAUUGGGAUGGGAUAUUAUAACACUCAUGUUCCACCUGUGAUUUUGAGGAAUAUAAUGGAGAAUCCGGCUUGGUAUACCCAGUACACACCGUACCAAGCUGAGAUAUCUCAGGGUAGAUUGGAGUCUUUGCUCAAUUACCAAACCAUGAUCACGGAUCUUACUGGAUUGCCUAUGUCAAAUGCUUCAUUGCUUGAUGAAGGGACUGCUGCUGCAGAGGCAAUGGCCAUGUGUAAUAACAUUCAAAAGGGAAAGAAAAAGACUUUUAUUAUUGCUAAUAAUUGUCACCCUCAAACUAUUGAUAUUUGUGAUACUAGAGCCGGAGGUUUUGAUCUUAAGGUAGUUACCGCAGAUCUUAAGGACAUUGAUUAUAAAUCUGGGGAUGUUUGUGGGGUCUUAGUUCAGUAUCCCGGGACUGAAGGUGAAGUUUUGGAUUAUGGAGAGUUUAUAAAGAAUGCUCAUGCUCAUGGAGUUAAGGUUGUUAUGGCAUCGGAUUUGUUGGCAUUGACGAUGUUGAAGCCUCCUGGUGAACUGGGUGCGGAUAUUGUUGUUGGUUCAGCUCAGAGGUUUGGUGUUCCAAUGGGGUAUGGUGGUCCUCAUGCUGCGUUUUUGGCAACCUCACAAGAGUACAAGAGGAUGAUGCCUGGUAGAAUUAUUGGUGUUAGUGUUGAUUCUUCAGGAAAGCCUGCUCUGCGCAUGGCGAUGCAAACUAGGGAGCAGCAUAUUCGCAGGGACAAGGCUACCAGCAACAUCUGUACUGCUCAAGUAAGAGAUUACUGUUUAUAUUGUUCUUUUCUUAUUUAUAUUCUGAGAACUGCUUGUAUAGAGUAAUGAAACUCAUUAAGUUGCCCUGUUUUCUGACAAAGUUACGAUACACAGUAUGCCUAGCUCAAAAUUAUUGGAAGGAACAUAAUUACUAGUAUUUUUACUAAACCACCAAAGCGGGCAUAUUGCAUAUGUGUUGGUUGUGCUUCAAUUGAAAGGAGUCUCUUGUUCUGUUUAGGCAUUGCUUGCAAACAUGGCUGCUAUGUAUGCUGUCUAUCAUGGACCUGAAGGCCUUAAAACCAUCGCCCAAAGGGUCCAUGGUCUUGCUGGAGCAUUCACAGUUGGACUGAAGAAACUUGGGACAGUUGAAGUCCAGGGCCUUCCCUUCUUUGACACUGUGAAGGUUAAGUGUGCUGAUGCACAUGCAAUUGCUGAUGCUGCUUACAAAAGCGAGAUAAAUUUGAGAGUUGUAGAUGCAAAAACC
rnacentral:lncRNA from 1 species